UCUCAAUCUGUUCUAGUUACUUCUCUGUGGCUGUGAUAAAACACUGAUAAGAAUCAACUAGGAAGAAAAUGUUUAUUUGGCUUAUGCAGUCUACCACUGAGGAAAGUCAAGGAUUCUUUUAGAAUUGAAGCUGAGAGUCUUGACAACUACAUCAAUGAACUUGAAUGGGUGAAGUGAACAUUUUAACAUCUGGUGAUGACGGAAACCACAUGGUUUGGAUCUCAGUGAAUAAAAGAUGAUGAGGAAGAACAACUAGAAACAUGAAAGCCAUAGACUCAGAAGCCAAAGAACAAGAAAGGAAUUAUUGAAACUUCCCUGGUGCAUGGCUAAAGUGAAAGAACCCCCC